rnacentral:rRNA from 1 species
UACGUAGGGGGCAAGCGUUAUCCGGAUUUACUGGGUGUAAAGGGAGCGUAGACGGCAGUGCAAGUCCGGAGUGAAAGCCCGGGGCUCAACCCUGGGACUGCUCUGGAAACUGUAAAGCUGGAGUGCGGGAGGGGCAGGCGGAAUUCCCGGUGUAGCGGUGAAAUGCGUAGAGAUCGGGAGGAACACCAGUGGCGAAGGCGGCCUGCUGGGCUUUAACUGACGCUGAAGCACGAAAGCGUGGGUAGCAAACAGG